rnacentral:rRNA from 1 species
AUUGAACGCUGGCGGCAGGCCUAACACAUGCAAGUCGAGCGAGAGGCGGACGGGUGAGUAAUGUAUGGGGAUCUGCCCGAUCGAGGGGGAUAACUCCUGGAAACGGUGGCUAAUAACGCUUACUAUCGGAUGCACCACUAUGGGAUUAGCUAGGAGGUGGGGUAAAGGCUCACCUAGUGGACGAUCUCUAGCUGGUCUGAGAGGAUGAUCAGCCACACGGGAACUUACACACGGCCCAGACUCCUACGGGAGGCAGCAGUGGGCAAUAUUGCGCAAUGGUCGCAAGCCUGAUGCAGCCAUGCCGCGUGUAUGAAGAAGGCCUUAGUGUUGUAAAGUACUUUCAUCGGUGAGGCGUUACCCGCAGAAGAAGCACCGGCUAACUACGUGCCAGCCGCCGCGGUAAUAC